rnacentral:rRNA from 1 species
CCUACGGGGGGCAGCAGUGAGGAAUAUUGGUCAAUGGGCGCGAGCCUGAACCAGCCAAGUAGCGUGAAGGAUGACUGCCCUACGGGUUGUAAACUUCUUUUAUAAAGGAAUAAAGUGAGGCACGUGUGCCUUUUUGUAUGUACUUUAUGAAUAAGGAUCGGCUAACUCCGUGCCAGCAGCCGCGGUAAUACGGAGGAUCCGAGCGUUAUCCGGAUUUAUUGGGUUUAAAGGGUGCGUAGGCGGCCUUUUAAGUCAGCGGUGAAAGUCUGUGGCUCAACCAUAGAAUUGCCGUUGAAACUGGGGGGCUUGAGUAUGUUUGAGGCAGGCGGAAUGCGUGGUGUAGCGGUGAAAUGCUUAGAUAUUGCGCAGAACUCCGAUUGCGAAGGCAGCAUACCGGCGGCGAUCUGACGCUGAGGCACGAAAGCGUGGGUAUCGAACAGGAUUAGAUACCCGAGUAGUC